rnacentral:rRNA from 1 species
AGAGUUUGAUCCUGGCUCAGGAUCAGCGCUAGCGACAGGCUUAACACAUGCAAGUCGAGGGGCAGCACGGGGUAGCAAUACCCCGGUGGCGACCGGCGCACGGGUGAGUAACACGUGUGCAACCAACCCCGUACCGGGAGAUAACCCGCGGAAACGUGGACUAACACCCCAUAAUACCUUUCCCCCGCAUGGGGGGGAGUUUAAAACCCCGGUGGUACGGGACGGGCACGCGCGACAUUAGGUAGUUGGCGGGGUAACGGCCCACCAAGCCGACGAUGUCUAGGGGUUCUGAGAGGAAGGUCCCCCACACUGGAACUGAGACACGGUCCAGACUCCUACGGGAGGCAGCAGUGAGGAAUAUUGGUCAAUGGGCGAGAGCCUGAACCAGCCAAGUCGCGUGAGGGAAGAAUGGUCUAUGGCCUGUAAACCUCUUUUGUCAAGGAAGAACAUGUAGUACGUGUACUACCCUGCCAGUACUUGACGAAUAAGCAUCGGCUAACUCCGUGCCAGCAGCCGCGGUAAUACGGGGGAUGCGAGCGUUAUCCGGAUUUAUUGGGUUUAAAGGGCGCGUAGGCGGGACGUCAAGUCAGCGGUAAAAGACUGCAGCUAAACUGUAGCACGCCGUUGAAACUGUCGACCUGGAGACGAGACGAGGGAGGCGGAACAAGUGAAGUAGCGGUGAAAUGCAUAGAUAUCACUUGGAACCCCGAUAGCGAAGGCAGCUUCCCAGGCUCGAUCUGACGCUGAUGCGCGAGAGCGUGGGUAGCGAACAGGAUUAGAUACCCUGGUAGUCCACGCCGUAAACGAUGCUCACUGGAUCUUGGCGAUACACGGCCAGGGUUCAAGCGAAAGUAUUAAGUGAGCCACCUGGGGAGUACGUCGGCAACGAUGAAACUCAAAGGAAUUGACGGGGGCCCGCACAAGCGGAGGAACAUGUGGUUUAAUUCGAUGAUACGCGAGGAACCUUACCCGGGUUUAAAUGCAGGUUGCAUGAGGUGGAAACACCUCUUUCCCUCGGGACUACCU